GGGGUGGGUGUCCCCCUCCAGCUGCCCCGCAGCCUGGCCUCCACCGGCCCACUUCCAGUCUCUGGAACCUGCCCAGGCCCCCAAAUCCUGGCCGGGCUCGGUAGGCCCGCAGCCUCCCGCCAGACUUCUGCGCCUUCGUUCAGGCGGGGUCAGAGGACUUGAUUUGGAUUUGGGGGGAGGGUGCGAGGCUUUUCAGGCCCCGUGGGGAUCCUGGUCGGCCCGGCUGGGCUGGGCGCGCAGAGGUUCCACCUCGGAGGCUGGGCACGGGGACAGCCCGAGGGCCGGCCCUGGGGCGCCACGGCAUUGGGGCUUCGCCCCUGGCGGGCCGGAGACCGAAGCUGCCCGCCCGCUGUCCGCCGUGCCCGGGGGCGCUGGGCCUGGGGCGGAUGCUCCCGCGGGCGUGUCGGCGACAGCUGCGCCCGAUCGAUCCCCGCGCCCGCCCGGGCUCCGUUGCCCCCGCCGCGCGGCUCCAUCGAAUCCUCAUCGCUCCCGGGCCGCGCCGCCCGCCGCGCUCUCGGCAAACACGGCUCUUGUUUGCGCGGGGGCACCGGGGCCGGGCGUCUGCGGGGCGCGGGGUUGUGUGUGACCCUGGGGCCCCGGGUGCUGUCCCCUCCCUGGCGACGCGGCCCCGCAGGCCGGGAGUGGCAGGGACGCAGUUAGAGGGGAUCCCUCCCCCGCUGCGCCCUUGUAUCCUCCGGGGAGGGCGGUGGAGGCCGGAGGGAGGGGAGGGCGCCCGGCCCCCCUCCCCCCCCCCGUCCCUGCCUCAGUCUCCCCAUCUGGAGAGUGACCCCCCGGGGCGCCCGAGGUCGGCUCCCUCUCCUCCCUCCUCGUCCACCUGCUUCCCCUUCCUCUGCGCCAGGCCAGCGGGCGCGGUCCGGAGCCGGGCGGGGCGAGCCUGCGACGCCCAGGUAGUGAAAGGUGAGGCCCGGUGCGGGGGGGAGGCGCAGCCAGCGGCCCGGGGGCACCAUCGUCCCCCCCACGCCAGGCCCCGACCGUCUCGUCUGGGCUUGGUCGAGAGCACCCCUCCUCCUCCGCGAGCUGCAGAGGACACUACGAGUCUGCCCAGCGGCGAGCAGUCGGGGAAACUGAGGCCAGGUCGGCCGGACGCGGGUCGCGGGCUCCGGGGGUUGAGGGAGGGGGCGGGAGCCGCUCGAGCCGCCCCACUGCCCAGCNNNNNNNNNNNNNNNNNNNNNNNNNNNNNNN
rnacentral:lncRNA from 1 species